AUUGAACGCUGGCGGCAUGCCUUACACAUGCAAGUCGAACGGUAACGGGCCUUCGGGUGCCGACGAGUGGCGAACGGGUGAGUAAUACAUCGGAACGUGCCCGAUCGUGGGGGAUAACGAGGCGAAAGCUUUGCUAAUACCGCAUACGAUCCACGGAUGAAAGCAGGGGACCGCAAGGCCUUGCGCGGACGGAGCGGCCGAUGGCAGAUUAGGUAGUUGGUGGGAUAAAAGCUUACCAAGCCGACGAUCUGUAGCUGGUCUGAGAGAAUGAUCAGCCACACUGGGACUGAGACACGGCCCAGACUCCUACGGGAGGCAGCAGUGGGGAAUUUUGGACAAUGGGCGCAAGCCUGAUCCAGCCAUGCCGCGUGCAGGAUGAAGGCCUUCGGGUUGUAAACUGCUUUUGUACGGAACGAAAAGCCUUCUUUUAAUACAGGAGGGUCAUGACGGUACCGUAAGAAUAAGCACCGGCUAACUACGUG
rnacentral:rRNA from 1 species